CAUCCUUAUUCCAGACAUAGUCCCAAAGGGCAAACCUUCACAGUUCUUGGGAGGGUGUAGUAGAGUUUCCUUCCAGCAGCUGAAGAAGACCCCUUCCCCAAGUUGUUCUCUAUAGGGUAGGAUAAGUAAAAACCUCAAUUUUAUUUCUCAGCAAGCAGAGCUCAGUUAAUCUGAAGCUCCUGACUUCAUAGGGAGUGUCCCCUCUCAGCUAUCUCUCCCCAUUCAUCUCAGCUAUCAUAGGCAUCUGACCGAAAGAGAAGCUAGUCUGACAUUCAAGUCGUUGCCAGCUCCAAGCUGAAGCCUGCAGGUAGUCAACAGAGCCAGCCUACCUAAAUCUGGCUGAAGGAGAGGAGAGAAGGAGCCCCCAAACUAUGCUACUGAGGAGGAGAUACCUGACUGCUAGCUUUCCCUGUUUGGUCUCCUUUGUACUAGAAGUCAAGGGGAGCAACCAGACUUACUUAGUACCAGAGUGUGAUCUGUCUGCCUUGCAGUAGGACAUCACAACUGGCUGGCUCCAGGGUUUUUGCCGCCCCAAGUGGUGG